GAUCCAGAGUUAUGUUCAAUGCAAAACUCCUAGGUAAAGUACCAUAGUAGGAAAAACGCGCUGUUUCAUGGGCGAUCCCUCACCAUAGUAUGUCUAUGGGGCAACUUUGGGGGGCUCUUGCGCCCCAGGGGUACAACUUAUACCCCACUGCGGGGUAUGUUCUCGCACAGCCUGAUAGCCUCUCCAAAUGUGGUGAUUCACAUGUUUCUGCGAAAUUCUCUCUCGGAGCUACGAUCCGUCAAAGUUGGCCGCAAUGCAUUUUCUAUGGGUGUUUUUUUCGUCGAUUUUUCGCCCGAUGUACGAACAUCGUACGCCUGAUCGCUUAUAAAAGUCAUAGCACACCUCUCCUCAAUAGGCCGCACGAUUUGACGCCUGUUUCGUUGGUCUGUGACAAACGGUGCGGGACUAGUUACGCGCCGAAGUUUUGUACGGAAGAAGUAAGAAUAAUAAUAAUAACUAGAAUGUACAUUUCCUGAAGAAAAUGUGAGUGGUGCUUGCAGUGGCAAAACUCGGCCCUCUGUUGCUU
ensembl:lncRNA